UGACUUUUCUGCGGAUCUGUUUCCUUUGAAUCUGGUCUGACUUGAUCAGGUUGUCCAAUUCCUCCGCCCACCGGAAGGGAGCGCCUUCAUUGCGUGCACGGGUGUCUGGUGCCACCUUGUGGUGAAUUCUGAAAUAGCUUUCUGUUUCCACUAGAGAUGAAGCUCCCUGGGCUUUCGGGAGCUUUUCCUUUUUUAGGGAAAGGGUUAGUUUUCCGGGAACCAGGAGUCAACUGGAGAAAGUCCCCAGGCCUACACGGAACACAGCUCCAUCGUCGCUUGCAGAAUUUAGCGGUCACCAUGUCUUCGCUUUCUGUCUCUGACACCAGAGAGUGUGCCCCGUGGCUCGCUCUCCUUUCUAGGUUCUCUGCUCUUGUCUUACUCUGCAGGCACAUGUUCGGAACCCAGCCCUUGGAGGACUCGAGUUCGAGUGCUGGGGAUUGAACUUAGGACCUCACACAUGCUGGGCCAGUGCUCUCUACCUGAAUGACAUCAUCAGCCUUCCUUACUAAAAACAAAUUUUAAAGAAUGAGAACUACACUGGCAGGGAUGAUUUGCCCCUGACUGAAGGCCUUGCCUGGAAUCUUCCUGGUAAUCAACAUGGACUCCUUUGUCCUACAGAGACAUCCAACAGGGACUUUCCUCUUUGAUGGUAGAAAAUAAACUCCUUCCAUCUGUGGCUCAUUUUGGCGAAAGGAGAAGAGGAAACUCCUUCUGAGUCCCAGCAAGCAGCAGGGGGAGAGAGAUCUUGCAGGCAGCACACUUGCUGUGUUCUCUGUGUGUAGGGGCCCUCCAGCUGGCCGCAGUCUGGCUUUUCAAGAGAGGCAAUUAGGAUGCAAGCAGGCUCACUCCCUAGCUUGUCUCACCUCUGUCCCUUCAACUCUGCCUCGGCCCAUUCUUGAGUGUGAAAGUCGGGAUUGUUCUCCCAGCUACAGAAUCCCAUUCCUCGUCUGUUUUCUUUUGCCCUCAUCCUCACAUUUUCUUUGAGUGUCCUUUCAUGGGACGCCUUGAUCUGUUCCCACAGAAAUGCAAUUAUCAGAAAUCAACCUCUCUCACCCAGUUCCGCCCUAAGCAGCUUUUGCCCACUGGUGAAUUCCAUAUUGUACUGAGAAAGUCAGCAACUAAUACUAAUAACAAUAAAAUAUGUUUGUAUUUUA